rnacentral:rRNA from 1 species
ACGCUCGACACCUACGUGAGGCAGCAGUGGGGGAUAUUGCACAAUGGGGGAAACCCUGAUGCAGCAACGCCGCGUGAAGGAAGAAGGUCUUCGGAUUGUAAACUUCUGUCCUCAGGGAAGAUAAUGACGGUACCUGAGGAGGAAGCUCCGGCUAACUACGUGCCUGCAGCCGCGGUAAUCUGAGCGGGCUGGCAAGGC